rnacentral:rRNA from 1 species
AUAUUUUAAACGGCCGCGGUAUUCUAACCGUGCAAAGGUAGCGUAAUCACUUGUUUUCUAAAUAAAGACCAGUAUGAACGGCUUCAUGAGGAUUGACCUGUCUCUUUUAACUAAUCAGUGAAACUGAUCUACCAGUACAAAAGCUGGUAUAUAACCAUAAGACGAGAAGACCCUGUGGAGCUUAAAAUACGGACAUUAACCCGAAACCAAAAUAAUGUACUAUUUUUAGUUGGGGCGACUUCGGAUAGAAACAAAACAUCCGAGCCAAAGAGGCCUCCCUCUAACCAAGACCCACAUGUCAAAGAAAAAAUUUGAUCCAGUCCAAACUGAUUAACGAACUAAGUUACCCCAGGGAUAACAGCGCUAUCUUCUUCAAGAGUCCCCAUCGACAAGAAGGUUUACGACCUCGAUGUUGGAUCAGGACACCCAAAUGGUGCAGCCACUAUUAAAGGUUCGUUUGUUCAACGAUUAAUAGUCCU